UUACGACCAUAUCACGUUGGAACACCUUUUCUCGUAUGAUCACCGAAGUUAAACAACGUCAAGCCUGGUCAGUAGUGAGUUGGGUGAUCGCUUGGGAAUACCAGAUACUGGAA